CUUUGCCUGAGGUGUGCGUUGUUAGUUACGUCCCUGAGCCGAUAUUUAAAACACUUUGAGUUGAGCUCUUAUAUUGUUGGUGAGCAGGCUCGUUUACGAGAAGCCUAAAAACGAUAAUGUUCGACUCCCUUGGACCGUCUGGUUCAAGGACCACAACUGAUGACGGCACUUCGGGUCUUUU
rfam:Haemophilus parasuis SH0165, complete genome.